CUCUAAACUGUGAUUGGUUUAUGCACUGAAUCAGCUAUUAAGGAAAUCAAGCACUCCUCCAUGAAGGCCACUUUCCAGAUCAUUACUGCAAUCACACAAAAGUUUUAUUUUCUCUAUUGAGCCUAGAACAAAUCCUGGUGCACCAGCUUAUCCUUAGGAAUCGAUUGUAAAAUUGCGUCCUGGAACCAUGAAUUGGGUUCAACGUAAGAUCUAUCUUUACAAUGUCACUUUUGGGCUCUAUAUGCUGGAUUGGUGGGAGCGUUAUCUUUUCAAUACAUUGGUCCUGGUGUUGAUGUGGUUCAUCUUUUACAAUAGCUCCCGGUAUCUGACAGAGUUUUGCAAGAGGCAUCUAUGGUGAGACCUAGAGAAAAGCAUUGACCUGGAAGGUUCAAAUUUGCAAAGUGAUCGAUGAUUUGAUGUAGCCACAGCUUGUACUACUAUUAGUGUUUCCUUCGACUUGUGAAACUGUUGAAAUGUCUAAGAGCAACUGUGGUUGUAGUGUUGUACUGCCCAUUUCUACACCAUUUGCUCAUGUUUUUUGGCUUAUAAUUACUUGUUUUACCAGAUUGUGUUGCUCCCAUGCUCCCUGCUGUAUACUCCAUUAUCUGAACAAACAUUAUGGUACUUGGUUAUGAACACUGCACUAUGGCUUGUUUUGUCUUUCCUUUCAGCUUUUGUUGCUCUCCCUCUCUAUUACUAUAUAGAGAUUUUU